rnacentral:rRNA from 1 species
UACGUAGGGUGCGAGCGUUGUCCGGAAUUAUUGGGCGUAAAGGGCUCGUAGGCGGUUUGUCGCGUCUGCUGUGAAAACUCGGGGCUUAACUCCGGCGUCGCAGUGGGUACGGGCUGACUAGAGUGCGGUAGGGAGACUGGAAUUCCUGGUGUAGCGGUGAAAUGCGCAGAUAUCAGGAGGAACACCGGUGGCGAAGGCGGGUCUCUGGGCCGUAACUGACGCUGAGGAGCGAAAGCGUGGGGAGCGAACAGG